GGGCGAAUGGUUUAGUGGUAUAAUACUCCCUUAGCAUGUUUACCCCAUCUGGGAGUGGUCCAGGGUUCGAUUCCCUGUUCGUCCA
rnacentral:tRNA from 2 species